UUCUAAUUCAUCUUUUGAUGCAACUUCUCAAAAAAUUAUGUUGUGGCAUUGUCGACUUGGACAUCCAAGUUUUUUAUAUUUAAGACAUUUGUUUCCUUCUUUGUUUUUAAAUAAAAAUGUUGCGGAUUUUCAAUGUGAUAUUUGCCAACUUGCUAAACAUACUCGUAUUUCAUUUCCUCACAAACUGUAUACACCCUCUAGUCCUUUCUCUCUUAUUCAUAGUGACGUAUGGGGACCAUCCAAGGUCACGACUUCUUCUGGUAAACGUUGGUUUAUUACAUUCAUUGAUGACCAUACACGAAUUACUUGGGUGUACCUUCUUAGGCACAAAUCCGAAACCUAUCAGGUAUUCCAAAACUUCCACAAAAUGAUCCAAACACAGUACCAGACAUCUAUUCGGACACUUCGUACCGAUAACGGUACUGAAUACUUCAAUACCACUCUUGCUCCCUAUCUUCUACAAAAUGGGAUUGUUCACCAGAGCUCGUGUGUAGAUACUCUGCAGCAGAAUGGAGUAGCCGAAAAGAAAAAUCGUCACCUCUUAGAAGUAGCCCGUGCUAUCAUGUUCAACAUGAAUGUUCCAAAAUAUCUUUGGGGCGAUGCUGUACUCACUGCUACUUAUCUAAUCAAUCACCUUCCCAGUUGGCCUCUUCAAUUUAAGACACCAUAUUCUAUUAUUCAGUUUCUUUAUCCUCACAUUUCCACAAAUACUCUGCCAGUAAAAGUCUUUGGGUGCACCACCUUUGUCCAUGUGCAGUCCCAACACCGAAGUAAACUUGAUCCUAAAGCCAUAAAGACAGUUUUCCUAGGAUAUUCUCCUACACAGAAAGGCUAUCGCUGUUACUGUCCCUCACCAAGAAAAUCUACAUCUCCCGCGAUGUAACUUUUUUCGAAAAUACUCCAUACUUCACUCCCACUCCGCUUCAGGGGGAGCAUAUUCAUCACAAGCAAGAAGCUCAAUGGUCGUGGGGUUUAGAAUUACCCCUAGAUGUGUCCUUUCCUCCAGUGAAUGAAAUCAUUCCCGAACCAGAAAAUCUUCCACCUUCUCAUGACUCAAAAUCAAAACAUGCAGAAAGCAAUUCGAGUGUAUACCAGAAGAGAAAGAAAUAAACAAGUGACGAAUUCUCAUCACAGUCAAGAGGCCGAUCCAGUGAUAGAACCACCUCAGUUAAAAGAUUCAGGUACUCUACCCUCAAACACUCAAUCAGAUCUAGAUAUUCCUAUUGCUUUAAGAAAAGGAAGUAGAUCUUGCACCCAACACCCUAUUUCAAAAUUCAUCUCUUAUGCAAAAUUAUCAUCUCCAUUUUAAACUUUUACCACUAGUCUAUCAGAUGUUGUGAUUCCCAGAAAUAUCAAUGAAGCACUUGGUACUCCUCAAUGGAAGACAGCAGUUCUCGAAGAGAUGAAAGCACUUGAGCAGAAUGGUACUUGGCGAUUAGUGGAGUUACCACCAAAUAAGAAAGUAAUAGGGUGCAAGUGGGUGUUCACAGUCAAAUAUAAUGCAAAUGGAUCUAUUGAAAGGUACAAAGCUCGGUUAGUUGCCAAGGGUUUUACUCAAACCUACGGAAUUGACUACACUGAAACAUUCGCUCCGGUUGCCAAACUCAAUACUAUCAGAGUAUUGCUCUCGCUUGCAGUCAACUUAAAUUGGGAAUUACAUCAACUUGAUGUAAAAAAUGCCUUCUUAAAUGGUGAGCUGGAAGAAGAAGUGUACAUGAGUCAGCCUCCGGGUUUUGAAGAAUCUCCCAAUACAACCAAAGUUUGCAAGCUAAACAAAUCGCUCUACGGUCUAAAACAAUCUCCUCGAGCAUGGUUCAAUCAGUUCUUGAAAGUUAUCAAGGGACUUGGAUACAUACAAGGUCAGACUGACCAUACUCUCUUCAUCAAUCACUUAGAAAGAGGGAAAAUGUCAGUUCUGAUUGUAUAUGUUGAUGAUAUCAUUAUCACUGGCAACCAUACUGAAGAGGUGAUUCGGAUUAAAGAAAUGUUGGCAAAGGAGUUCGAAGUCAAGGAUCUUGGUGAACUCAGAUAUUUUCUGGGAAUGGAAUUUGCUAGAAGCAAAAAGGGAAUUUCUGUUUCUCAAAGAAAAUACACUCUUGAUCUCUUGAAUGAGACAGGAAUGCUAGGCAGUAAACCUAGCAAAACUCCAAUCGAGCUUGGAGACAAGAGGAAAAUGUUUGAAGGAAACUCAGUUGACAAAGAAAGGUACCAGCAACUAGUAGGAAAGCUUAUCUACCUCUCUCAUACCAGACCAGAUAUUGCUUUUGCAGUAAGUCUGGUCAGUCAAUACAUGCAUGAUCCAUGUCAAGGACAUCUUAAUGCAGUAUAUAGAAUUCUGAGGUAUUUAAAGCAAACCCUAGGAAAAGGUCUUUUCUUCAAAAAGACUAUUGAAAGAAAAGUUGAAGUAUUCACAGAUGCAGACUGGGCUGGGUCAGUUGAUGAUAAAAAAUCUACAUCUGGAUAUUGUACAAUUGUAUGCGGCAAUGUGGUAACAUGGCGAAGUAAAAAGCAAACAGUGGUUGCAAGAAGCAAUGCCGAAGCAGAGUAUAGAGCCAUGGCCCACGGACUAUGUGAAGCGAUAUGGAUCAGACGCCUGUUAAGAGAACUAAAGAGUGAAUAUGAAGCUCCCAUUCAACUUUACUAUGAUAAUCAAUCUACCAUCAGUAUUGCACGCAACCCUAUACAUCAUGACAGAACUAAACACGUGGAAGUAGAUCGUCACUUUAUCAAAGAGAAGAUUGAUGGGGGAAUUGUCAACAUCAAAUAUGUUCAUACAGAUCAACAGUUGGCUGAUAUUCUCACAAAGGGGUUAUUCGAGCGAGUAUUUGAGUUCCUAGUAAACAAGCUUGGACUCAUCAAUAUCUAUGGUCCAGCUUGAGUUCCUAGUAAACAAGCUUGGACUCAUCAAUAUCUAUGGUCCAGCUUGAGCGAGUAUUUGAGUUCCUAGUAAACAAGCUUGGACUCAUCAAUAUCUAUGGUCCAGCUUGAGCGAGUAUUUGAGUUCCUAGUAAACAAGCUUGGACUCAUCAAUAUCUAUGGUCCAGCUUGAGGGGGAGUGUUAACAGUCAGAAAAUAAUGUCAAUACGUUACAAAUGGAUGUUUCCGUUUCCUAAAGUCUAUAGGAAUUCUCUUUUAUUGUAUUUAUGUUGUAUUAAAGAUAGUUUAAUGUGUAAAUCUGUAUAUAAGCCUAAGUUCUAGUUUGUAAAAUACACAGAAAAAAAACAUACUUUUCUCUCCCAUUUUUAUAAUUACUAUCCUCAAGCUUUUGAGAGGCUUGUUCUCCCUAACUCCAAACUUCUAAGAAAUUUGGUCCCUCCAAAUGAGCAAUCUCUCAAUAUCUUUCACAUACCCCCAAAUGGAGAGUCUUACUCUCUAUUUAAAGGCAUUGGUCACAGGGACUAUAGCCACCUAGGAUUACAACUCAGCCAAUAGAAACAAAGAACCAUAGGAUUAAACAACCAGCCUAGUCACAAAUCAAAAUAUAUUUAAUUGCCUAGCUGUCCAAACAACUAUUUGGCUCUCCUGUGGUAAACCUUACAAGUCUUAGGCCUAUCAAUUACUGGAAAGGAUGAGUGAUAAGCUUUUUCUUACUUAGAAUCUUCCUAUCUCAACACACACACAAAUCACUGAAAUCGCGCACAGAAUUUUAAGAAAGUUCAUUCACAAGCAUUCGAGAGGCUUGUUCUCUCCUAUUCCUAUCAUUCGAGAGGAUUGGGGCUCCCCUAACAAUUGAGACUUCUCUCUAGACCUCCCACUAAUAUAUAGCCUAUGGUAUAUAACAAUUUCUGCCACAUCAGCUACUCAAACUAAUACACAACAACCUAUUUACCAAUUGAAAAUAAAACUAUACAAGUUAAUGCCUUAAUACAAUACUAGUCAUGCCUUCUUGGCUUUCUUUCUUUGGUACACAAAUGUAGAAAUAAUUUGAAUUAUUACUUAGUUUUUUACAGCUAAAAUGUAAUUAAUGUAAUUUAGUUUAUACCUAGAAUAUUCCUUUGUACUCAGCCUAUUUAAAGGCUAUUCCUUUAGAAGUAAAAAUAACAAUCAAGAGUAUAUUUUUCCAUAUGGUAUCAGAGCUUUAAGAGCUUAAAAAUAGAGAAUUUUUUUCCAAAAUUACACUUAUUUUUUCUGCCCUUUCUUCAAAAAUUAGGGUUUGGUACUCUUGAGGUUCAACCUUAGAGAACUAUUUUAAAGUUGUUCUCUCUUCUCACCUCCACCACAGAGAGAUUGCUCAACCUCUGGUCAACAAAACCCCAGCGUCCACCUUCCAGAUCACCGAUGGAUACUGUUCACGCGUGGUACUGUUCACGGAAUUUUUUUUUUCUUCCUAGCCAGCACCUUUCCUCUGAUUUUUCCUUUCUGACCAUUAAAAUUCGACCAUGGUCACUUCUCCAACUGAUCUCAACACCACUUGCGAUAAUUCCACCAUCACUGAAAUCUCAAAAAGGCUCUCUGAGGUUGUUACCCAUCACUUUGAACAGCCUAAUCUUCACCACUCAGUUGCUGAAAACAAUUUUAAAGGGCGCGCUAUGACUGCUGCUCAGCGUGGUACAUUCCCUUUCACCACAGAUCAGAUUGUUCCACUCCAUAGGUUUUCUCAAGUCAACUUCCGCACCAGAUCUGAACUCUCUUGGAUUUUUCUCCACUCCAAACACUUCAAACUUCGCCGUGGAUCGUCGACUCUGGCGCAUCUAACCACAUGACUGGUAAAUCUCAUCAGUUCAUUACUUAUAGUCCUUGUCCAGGUACUAGUAAAAUAAAAAUUGCUGAUGGCUCUCUAUCAACUGUAGCGGGUAAAGGUUUCGUUUAUCUAUCUCCUCUCCUUAUUCUUAAAGAUGUCCUCCAUGUGUCAAAUCUAUCUUGUAAUCUCCUCUCAAUUAGCAAACUUACCCUUGAUCAAGGUUGUAUUGCGAAAUUCUCACCCUUACAUUGUGAUUUCCAGGAAUUGUCUUCUGGGAAGACGAUUGGAAGUGCGAGAGAAUGUAGUGGGCUGUACUACUUUGAUGUUGACCCUUCAUCUGCUCAAGACCUGAUGCAAGAGUCAUAGGACUCAUUAAACAUAUGGGAGCAAAAUCACAUGCAAUGCAAAAGCGGGUUUUAUGUAUGAAUAAGGUUGACUUAGCUGAGAAAAAGAAAGACUUAUUGAAAGUUGCUG